AUACGGAGGGCGCAAGCGUUAAUCGGAAUCACUGGGCGUAAAGCGCACGUAGGCGGCGAGAUAAGUCGGGCGUGAAAGCCCUCGGCCCAACCGAGGAAUUGCGUUCGAUACUGUUUGGCUUGAGUCCUGGAGAGGGUGGCGGAAUUCCGGGUGUAGGAGUGAAAUCCGUAGAUAUCCGGAGGAACACCGGUGGCGAAGGCGGCCACCUGGACAGGUACUGACGCUGAGGUGACGAAAGCGGUGGGGAGAC
rnacentral:rRNA from 1 species